GACGAACGCUGGCGGCGUGGAUUAGGCAUGCAAGUCGAACGGUAUCAUCCUUUCGGGGGUGAGAGAGUGGCGAACUGGUGAGUAACACGUAGGUUAUCUACCCUCAAGACGGGGACAACCCAGGGAAACUUGGGCUAAUACCGGAUGUGAGCAACUUUUAGUUGUUUGAAAGGUGGCGUAAGCUGUCGCUUGGGGAUGAGCCUGCGUCCUAUUAGUUAGUUGGUGAGGUAACGGCUCACCUAGGCAAUGAUAGGUAGGCGGCCUUAACGGGUGGUCGCCCACACUGGGAUUGAGAUACGGCCCAGACUCCUACGGGAGGCAGCAGUCGAGAAUAGUCUACAAUGGUCGGAAGACUGAUAGUGCGACGCCGCGUGAACGAUGAAUCCCUUCGGGGUGUAAAAGUUCUUUUAUAUGUGAGCAGUGCUUUCUUAUAUUAAACAGUAUGGGGAAGAGAUAUUAGCAUAUGAAAUAAGCAAACGGCUAAACUCCGUGCCAGCAGCCGUCGGUAAAUA
rnacentral:rRNA from 1 species